GCGGCUGCAAUUUCUACGCUGCGCUUUUCAUCUCUGAAGCCAUGCGCAGCAGCGUGCAGUCGUCAUGUUCAGAAAAGCAGUGCAAAGGUACCCGAAUAAGCUGUACAACAUUGCUGCAAGGUGCCUUGGUAAACCAGUACCCAGCCCUGAGGAACAGAUUGGACUCUGGCUAUACGCCAGAACAGGAGUUUGCCCACCCCACAUUGCUGUACACUGGCGACAACCGCAUCUCUUCCAAGGCCCUGUGUGUGAAGUGUGGAUAUGUAUGUGUAGAUGUAUUGGACUUCACUUCCGGUGUAACGGAGGUAUUUUUAUUUUCUAUGUACUGGGGCUUUCAACAUCGAAUACAUCAGCUCUGCGGAGCAGACACUCUCAUUGCUGCAACACAUGAUUGAAAUGAAAACGAAAACGACAAAACUAGGCGCCAAGUCCCAACAGCUUUAAUAGCACGGUUAACUGCUACAACUAACAAAAUCACAGCCAGUACUGAGCAGGCUGAGAAAUCUGACUAAGCUGCUAAAGUCGUCUUGAAAUGCACCUUCCUGUAUGCACUUAGCCUUUUUUGUUUCUUUUAACACGAAAGUGUUUUAUGCCGGGGUCC
rnacentral:misc_RNA from 1 species